rnacentral:rRNA from 1 species
AUUGAACGCUGGCGGCAUGCCUUACACAUGCAAGUCGAACGGCAGCACGGGUGCUUGCACCUGGUGGCGAGUGGCAAACGGGUGAGUAAUACAUCGGAACAUGUCCUGUAGUGGGGGAUAGCCCGGCGAAAGCCGGAUUAAUACCGCAUACGAUCUACGGAUGAAAGCGGGGGACCUUCGGGCCUCGCGCUAUAGGGUUGGCCGAUGGCCGAUUAGCUAGUUGGUGGGGUAAAGGCCUACCAAGGCGACGAUCAGUAGCUGGUCUGAGAGGACGACCAGCCACACUGGGACUGAGACACGGCCCAGACUCCUACGGGAGGCAGCAGUGGGGAAUUUUGGACAAUGGGCGAAAGCCUGAUCCAGCAAUGCCGCGUGUGUGAAGAAGGCCUUCGGGUUGUAAAGCACUUUUGUCCGGAAAGAAAUCCUUGGCCCUAAUACGGUCGGGGGAUGACGGUACCGGAAGAAUAAGCACCGGCUAACUACGUG